CUUUUGCACCAUCACAGCCAUGUCGUGAGUGUUCGCUUCAGGGCACCAACCGAACGGGGCUCACUCUC
rnacentral:RNase_MRP_RNA from 10 species